rnacentral:rRNA from 1 species
UACAGAGGGCCCAAGCGUUGUUCGGAUUCACUGGGCGUAAAGGGCGCGUAGGCGGCGCCGUAAGUCGGGUGUGAAAUCUCGGGGCUUAACUCCGAAACUGCAUUCGAUACUGCGGUGCUUGAGGACUGGAGAGGAGACUGGAAUUCAUGGUGUAGCAGUGAAAUGCGUAGAGAUCAUGAGGAAGACCAGUGGCGAAGGCGGGUCUCUGGACAGUUCCUGACACUGAGACACGAAGGCCAGGGGAGCAAACGGG